rfam:Prunus persica cultivar Lovell chromosome G3, whole genome shotgun sequence.
AUGGAAGUGAUGAUUAUUUCCCCAAAUGAUCGAAGCUGAACAAACUGAGCGACUUAUAUCUCUGUAUUAACAGAGACACCAAGCCAGGUGUUUCUGAUCCAU